AGAGUUUGAUCCUGGCUCAGGAUGAACGCUAGCGACAGGCUUAACACAUGCAAGUCGAGGGGCAGCGGGGGUAGCAAUACCCGCCGGCGACCGGCGCACGGGUGAGUAACGCGUAUGCAACUUGCCUAUCAGAGGGGGAUAACCCGGCGAAAGUCGGACUAAUACCGCAUGAAGCAGGGGCCCCGCAUGGGGAUAUUUGCUAAAGAUUCAUCGCUGAUAGAUAGGCAUGCGUUCCAUUAGGCAGUUGGCGGGGUAACGGCCCACCAAACCGACGAUGGAUAGGGGUUCUGAGAGGAAGGUCCCCCACAUUGGUACUGAGACACGGACCAAACUCCUACGGGAGGCAGCAGUGAGGAAUAUUGGUCAAUGGGCGUAAGCCUGAACCAGCCAAGUCGCGUGAGGGAUGAAGGUUCUAUGGAUCGUAAACCUCUUUUAUAAGGGAAUAAAGUGCGGGACGUGUCCCGUUUUGUAUGUACCUUAUGAAUAAGGAUCGGCUAACUCCGUGCCAGCAGCCGCGGUAAUACGGAGGAUCCGAGCGUUAUCCGGAUUUAUUGGGUUUAAAGGGUGCGUAGGCGGCCUUUUAAGUCAGCGGUGAAAGUCUGUGGCUCAACCAUAGAAUUGCCGUUGAAACUGGGGGGCUUGAGUAUGUUUGAGGCAGGCGGAAUGCGUGGUGUAGCGGUGAAAUGCUUAGAUAUCACGCAGAACCCCGAUUGCGAAGGCAGCCUGCCAAGCCAUGACUGACGCUGAUGCACGAAAGCGUGGGGAUCAAACAGGAUUAGAUACCCUGGUAGUCCACGCAGU
rnacentral:rRNA from 1 species